AUUCGUGACUUUCUCCCGUCACAGUAUUACAUGUGCUGUGUGGUACACGUACAAACUUGUUUUGUGAAUAAAAUACUUGGCGAUUAUAUUAGAGCAAGUUUCACAAUCCAAACAUGGGAAACUGGCAACUGGAAGCAGCCAAAAUGGGGAUGUACAUGAUUUUCCCAGUUGGUUGUUUCUAUUACUUUAACCAGGCAGAGUAUUUUGAAGAUUGGAUGAUCAAUCUGAGGAGAGAAAUGUACCCUGCCGAAAGCAGGGUGAACAAAAAGAUGUUUGAGGACACCAUUCGCCAAAUGAAGGAGAAAGAGGAACGGGAAUAUCUCAGACUACUUGAGGAGAAGGAAAGAAAAAAUAAUGCCUAAGUUGUCUGUUUCUUAAUUAGAUUUAUGUAUACAAGAGUCAAUUUCAA